AUAAUGAUCAGAACACAAAUGUUAAUUUACCUACUUAUUAUAGAUUCUAGCGCUAUUUAUAUGUAUUUAUGCAAAUUUUAUUAAGAUUCGGUACCGGUUAAUUCCUGUGUACAUAAAGGCACCAUCUAUUUUUGUUUAUUGUUACUUAAUCGUUGAUAGAAUAUUAAAUUGCAUUAGAGACGGUAUAUAAACAAUGCACCACAAGACGGAACUCAUCAGAUACAAUUCACCUUUGUAUACCACAAUUCAGCAAAAUGUUCAAAUUGCUCGCCCUUUUUGUAAUUUUGGCUAUCGCCACCGUUUCCUUGGCAUUGCCUAGACCAGGACCAAAUCCUCAAUUGUACUACGGUGCUUCCCCGUACUAUGCAGGUUAUGCCUACAGCCCUUACAGCGCUCUUGGAUACGGUGGAUACUACUAUUGAUGAAGACUUAUUCCCUAGGACUGGACGAUUUUUAUGCAUUACUAUGUUGAGAUUAAGGAUUUAAUAUACUAGUUUUAUGAUAA